GACGAACGCUGGCGGCGUGCCUAAUACAUGCAAGUUGAGCGCUGAAGGUUGGUACUUGUACCAACUGGAUGAGCAGCGAACGGGUGAGUAACGCGUGGGGAAUCUGCCUUUGAGCGGGGGACAACAUUUGGAAACGAAUGCUAAUACCGCAUAAAAACUUUAAACACAAGUUUUAAGUUUGAAAGAUGCAAUUGCAUCACUCAAAGAUGAUCCCGCGUUGUAUUAGCUAGUUGGUGAGGUAAAGGCUCACCAAGGCGAUGAUACAUAGCCGACCUGAGAGGGUGAUCGGCCACAUUGGGACUGAGACACGGCCCAAACUCCUACGGGAGGCAGCAGUAGGGAAUCUUCGGCAAUGGACGAAAGUCUGACCGAGCAACGCCGCGUGAGUGAAGAAGGGUUUCGGAUCGUAAAACUCUGUUGGUAGAGAAGAACGUUGGUGAGAGUGGAAAGCUCAUCAAGUGACGGUAACUACCCAGAAAGCGACGGCUAACUACGUG
rnacentral:rRNA from 1 species